UACGUAGGCAGCGAGCGUUGUUCGGAAUUACUGGGCGUAAAGAGUGUGUAGGCGGUGCUCUAAGUUCGGUGUGAAAUCUCCUGCUUAACUGGGAGGGUGCGCCGGAAACUGGGGUGCUCGAGCGUGGGAGAGGAAAGCGGAAUUCCUGGUGUAGCGGUGGAAAUGCGUAGAUAUCAGGAGGAACACCUGUGGUGUAGACAGCUUUCUGGACCAUUGCUGACGCUGAGACACGAAAGCGUGGGUAGCAAACAGG
rnacentral:rRNA from 1 species